CCAAUAGCGUAUAUUAAAGUUGUUGCAGUUAAAAAGCUCGUAGUUGAAUUUCGGAAUCUGUCCAUCGGUCGGGCUUCACUGUCCGUACUGGUGUGGUGGGUUCUUACCUUCUGAAUAACCAGCAUGCCAUUCACUUGGUGCGUUGGGGAAGCAGGACUAUUACCUUGAAAAAAUUAGAGUGCUCAAAGCAGGCCAGUGCCUGAAUACAUUAGCAUGGAAUAAUAAAAUAGGACGGCAUGGUUCUAUUUUGUUGGUUUCUAGGAUCACCGUAAUGAUUAAUAGGGAUAGUUGGGGGCAUUAGUAUUCAAUUGUCAGAGGUGAAAUUCUUGGAUUUAUUGAAGACUAACUUCUGCGAAAGCAUUUGCCAAGGAUGUUUUCAUUAAUCAAGAACGAAAGUUAGGGGAUCGAAGACGAUCAGAUACCGUCGUAGUCUUAACCAUAAACUAUGCCGACUAGGGAUCGGACGAUGUUAAUUUUUUAAUGACUCGUUCGGCGCCUUACG
rnacentral:rRNA from 1 species